UGUGCUCCUAGAAAGAGACCUAGAUUCCUGCAACCACAUGCAUUUAUAAAGGGAUUGGACGGGAGCUGAGGUGCCAUCCUAUCUGGUUUUGCUGGCAAGAGAAACAUUCUAUUCUCUAAUGCAAAUUGCCUGCAGGUGUUGCGUGUGAGGGACCUGUUGAAGAAUCACUGCUAGCUUAUAAGAAAGAGAGAUCAUCCGGAGGAGAUACAGAUGAAAGGAACAUGAGCAUCCUCUAGACGUUGGAAAUGGCAAGGAAAUUGGUCCUCUCCUAGAGCCUCCAGAAGGAAUGCAGCCAUGCGGAUACCAUGAUUUCAGCCCAGUGAGUCCCACUCCAGACUUCUCACCUAUAGAACUGCAAGGCCAGCUCGGUGGUGCAGCGGUUAAAUUCACACAUUCCGCUUCUCUGCUCGGGGUCCCAGGGUUCACCAGUUCGGAUGCGGACAUGGCACCGCUUGGCACGCCAUUCUGUGCCAUAGGCUUCAGCAGUAAUGCCAUCAGGUCAAGCAGUGACCUAGUGGACAAGAGGCACCAUGAAACAGCCCAACAAGGCUUUGAAAACAACCCUGGGACUUUCAUGCAGAUCUGAAACCUUCGCUACUGCUCCCCACCACUCCCCACCAACCCAGACUGCCCUAAAGGCCAAGUGGUCAAUUUGGGAAGGAGAAGGGGUAAGGAUGGAAUCUGAAAAACUGAGCAUUUACUUGAGAAGAGCUCUGGUCUACAAAAAGAGACUUACAGCAACUGUUAGAAUUUUACAAAAUACACCCUGAGAAGGUUAAAAAAAAAACCAAAACAUAUAUUGUAACUGUGAGAAAUGAGUUCAAACAUGAAAUCUGAUAGAUCGUGAAAUUACAAUGUAAGUUGUGAAACACUAAUUUUCCCUCUGAGACUAAAAUGUACUCAGGUUUUUGCUAGGAUACAAUUGAGAAUGAAGAGGAUGGAAAGCUAUCCUAUGGAAAGACCCCCACCCCCCAACCGCCCCCGGACCUGCCAGCCUUCUCCACAACCAUCCUGUCCCAUUUCUGUGUCGGCAACAGAUCAUGCAUGCAUAUCAGAG
rnacentral:lncRNA from 1 species